rnacentral:rRNA from 1 species
UACGGAGGAUGCGAGCGUUAUCCGGAUUUAUUGGGUUUAAAGGGUGCGUAGGUGGGCUUUUAAGUCAGUGGUGAAAGUUUGUCGCUCAACGAUAAAAUUGCCAUUGAAACUGUGAGUCUUGAGUAUGUUUGAGGUAGGCGGAAUGCGUGGUGUAGCGGUGAAAUGCAUAGAUAUCACGCAGAACUCCGAUUGCGAAGGCAGCUUACUAAACCAUAACUGACACUGAAGCA